AUUUAUAUAAACCUUUUCAUUUCACCUUCAUCAGGAGAAAAAAAAACUAUCCUUGAGUAAUUAUUCCCAAACCCCCACUCAAAGCUUCUUAACCAACUUCUUCAGAGUUAUCAAUCAAGCUCUAAAUGAGGUGAAACAUAGCCUCAUCAAUCUACAACCCUAAAACUGAACUUCAUCAUCUUCAUCACCCCUAAUUAAUCCUCAACCUCUAAAUUACUCACUCACUUCAAUCUUAAUCCUCGAAAUCUCUCAGCACCAACCAAGUUAUCUAAUUCUAAUAGCCAAUUUACAACAACAAUGACAAUUCAAGAAUUUUAGAAAUUAAUUGCAAAAAAUGAAGGAGGAAGAAGAAGAAGAUUGAGUUUGAAAGAAAUUUGUACCUGAGCAUCUGUAAUCUCCUCUUUGGGUUUCUUAAUUAUCAUUUUCAAGCUUAUUAUGCAACAUCCACUGAAGCAAGUCUCAGCUCCGUAGGUAAGUCUCUAAGCUUCCCCAAUUCUUCAUAUUGUUUUCCUUUUCUUGACACCACAUGGUAGAGAUAGCUUGUG
rnacentral:lncRNA from 1 species